rnacentral:rRNA from 1 species
GACGAACGCUGGCGGCGUGCCUAAUACAUGCAAGUCGAACGCAGUGGGGACGGGUGAGUAACACGUGGGUAACCUCCCAUCAGAGGGGAUAACACUUGGAAACAGGUGCUAAACCGAUACUGAUGGAUGAACCCGCGGUGCAUUAGCUAGUUGGUGAGGUAACGGCUCACCAAGGCCACGAUGCAUAGCCGGCCUGAGGGGGGGGUCGGCCGAACUGGGACGGAGACACGGCCCAGACGCCUACGUGAGGCAGAAGUAGGGAAGCGUCGGCAAUGGACGAAAGUCUGCCCGAGCAACGCGGCGUGAGUGAAGAAGGUUUUCGGAUCGUAAAACUCUGUUGUUAGAGAAGCGGUAUCUAACCAGAACGCCACGGCUAACGACGUGCCAGCAGCCGCGGUAAUUC